rnacentral:rRNA from 1 species
AGCGAACGCUGGCGGCAGGCCUAACACAUGCAAGUCGAACGAAGCCUUCGGGCUUAGUGGCGGACGGGUGAGUAACACGUGGGAACGUACCUUUUGGUUCGGAACAACUCAGGGAAACUUGAGCUAAUACCGGAUGAGCCCUUAGGGGGAAAGAUUUAUCGCCGAAAGAGCGGCCCGCGUUAGAUUAGCUAGUUGGUGAGGUAAAGGCUCACCAAGGCUACGAUCUAUAGCUGGUCUGAGAGGAUGAUCAGCCACACUGGGACUGAGACACGGCCCAGACUCCUACGGGAGGCAGCAGUGGGGACUCUUGCGCAAUGGGCGAAAGCCUGACGCAGCCAUGCCGCGUGAAUGAUGAAGGUCUUAGGAUUGUAAAAUUCUUUUACCAGGGACGAUAAUGACGGUACCUGGAGAAAAAGCCCCGGCUAACUUCGUGCCAGCCGCCGCAGUAAGAC